GACGAACGCUGGCGGCGUGCUUAACACAUGCAAGUCGAGCGGUAAGGCUCCUUCGGGAGUACACGAGCGGCGAACGGGUGAGUAACACGUGAGCAACCUGCCCUUCUCAUCGGAAUAAGCGUUGGAAACGACGUCUAAUGCCGAAUAUGACAACGGAUCGCAUGAUCUGUUGUGGAAAGCUCCGGCGGAGAAGGGAAUGGGCUCGCGGCCUAUCAGCUUGUUGGUGGGGUAACGGCCCACCAAGGCGACGACGGGUAGCCGGCCUGAGAGGGGGGCCGGCCACACGGGGACUGGUACACGGCCCAGACUCCUACGGGAGGCAGCAGUGGGGAAUAUUGGACAAUGGGCGCAAGCCUGAUUCAGCAACGCCGCGUGAGGGAUGACGGCCUUCGGGUUGUAAACCUCUUUCAGCAGGGACGAAGCGAAAGUGACGGUACCUGCAGAAGAAGGACCGGCCAACUACGUGCCAGCCGCCGCAGUAAUAC
rnacentral:rRNA from 1 species